GAUGAAGAACGUAGCGAAAUGCGAUAAGUAAUGUGAAUUGCAGAAUUCAGUGAAUCAUCGAAUCUUUGAACGCACAUUGCGCCCGCUAGUAUUCUGGCGGGCAUGCCUGUCCGAGCGUCAUUUCAACCCCCAAGCCCCCGGGCUUGGUGUUGGGGAUCGGCGAGCCUCCGCGCCCGCCGUCCCCUAAAUCUAGUGGCGGUCUCGCUGUAGCUUCCUCUGCGUAGUAGCACACCUCGCACUGGGAAACAGCGCGGCCACGCCGUUAAACCCCCAACUUCUGAACGUUUGACCUCGGAUCAGGUAGGAAUACCCGCUGAACUUAAGCAUAUCAAUAAGCGGAGGA
rnacentral:misc_RNA from 1 species